CUCAGCAAUAUUGGUUGCCACAACAACCUUCCUCUUCCCUGGUGGGGCAGGUUCAAAAAUCCUGGACUGCAUUUCACUGGGAAGGGCACUAUAAACAGGUAAUAUAAUCAACUCCGGAACAUUUUUUCCCAAACCUUUCAUCCUCUCAUAGAGAGAUUGGCAUGCAAAAUCAAUCUCCUCCUGACCAGUCAAGAAAAGAAGUAUGUCACCUUCAGGUUCUGUCAAGUGGAUUUGUAGCACAGUGAUCAAAGCUGCAUCUAAAUAGUCACUUUCUGGCUGUUUGGUGUACAAUAUCUCCACAGGAAAAGUUCUCCCAGGAAUUGUGAAUAUGUUACAGUUGAAGAAAUAUCCUGAAAAUUUCUCAGCAUCUAGUGUGGCAGAUGUGACAAUCAAGCGAAGAUCAGGUCUCCUCUUUACAAGAUGUUUAAGUAACCCAAAAAGGACAUCAGUGUGGAUUGUCCUCUCAUGAGCUUCAUCAAGCAUUACCACUGAAUAUUGAGAAAGAUUAUCAUCAAUCAGAAUCUCCCUAAGUAGCAUGCCAUCUGUCAUGUACUUGAUCACUGUAUCUGGUCCAGUACAAUCCUCAAAACGAAUGGCAUAACCAACCUCCUCCCCUAAACGACACCCGAACUCUUCAGCCACCCUCUUGGCCACAGACAUUGCAGCCACCCGACGAGGCUGAGUACAUCCAAUCUUACCCUUCGUGGUAUAACCUGCCUCGGCAAGAUACUGUGUCACCUGGGUAGUCUUACCUGAGCCUGUCUCACCAAUAACUACCAGAACCUGAUUAUCAUGGACAGCUUGAAUUAGCUCUUUUUUCAAUUUAUAGAUUGGCAAGCUCUGCCUCUGCUCCUGAAUGGAUAACUUUGAUCUUUGGCCAAAUGUUAAAGCUUUUCCAAAUGCAUCCUUUUUCCAUUCAGGCAUGUCAUAAGCAGAUAAACCAACACCUCUAAGCUCCUGAGCGAGAUGUCUUUCACCAGUCUCUGGCAUUGGGUCUUCCCAAGGACGAUUAAGAUCCUUCGGUAUUGAAUCAAGCAUCGUCCUCUGCUGUUGUUCCCUUACUUCCCUCCUCUCCUUUAUAAGUGCAGACUGAAGCGCAGCUGCACGACUCAAUGAUCCUUCUGGAUUCUUAAAAAUCUUCACGGGAGACAUAUCAACAGAGUACCUAGUCUGGCCUUGCAAAAAUGCAGGCUCAUCUUCAUUCAACUCAAUUUCAAGAUCCUCCUCAGCGCCCUCUUCUUGAUAAAGCAUCCCAUCUCGCUCUUCAUCAUACAUGGGAUACUCUUUGACACUUAAAACUCCAGAAGCAAUCAACUGUUUUGCCUCCCAUCUCUCCGGUGAGCUCAUUCUCUUCAAUGGCCGACGCGAUGGAACCGCAUCAUCCUCCUCCAUGAUCCUAAUCCCAGAAAGCCCUGUCCUGGUCACUGGCCCCUCCUUAGAUGCCGAAGGAUUAGUCCUAAAAGUACCAUCAUCAUCAUCUGAGCUCCUCUUCAAACGAAGUAGAUCCUUACCUGUAUUCUGAUCAACAUCCCUCAUGGAAAGACUCAACUUCUGUCCGGAAAUUGAAAUCACCUUAACAUAAACCUCCAGGUACCGCUUCACAACAUCCUUGGCAUUACCAACCCUCCUACUUGCAAUCUGUGAAACAUGAACCAAACCCUCCUUGCUCCUAAAGUCAUUCAAUUGCACAAAACAACCUGAGUCCAUCACUCUCGACACCCUGCCCUUAUAAACCUUGUACAAUUCAGGCUCACUGGAACUAUUGGGUCCGUUCCUCCGAUCCCUUUCGCUUUCACCACCGUCCCUGUCAUGAUAAUCAUUUUCUUCACUCCCAUUUCUCCUAUGCCUGUCAUGCCUACCCCUCUGCUUUCCUCUACUCCUAUAAUCACCAUCUCUACUGUCAUGACCAACAUCAUAAUCUCUAUCUCUACGCCUCUCAUCUCUAUCAGAUCUAUCCCUAUGCCUGUCUCUAUCCUUACCCCUCCGGUCUCUGUCUCUGUUCCUAUCGUCCUCUUCCUUUUCCUCUUCUUUCCUUCUCUCCCUAGCCUCCAUUUCGAGUUCGCGUUCAAGGUUCUUGGCUCUCUCCUUACUGUCUGCAAUAGCCAGAGCUCUGAAUUUGGAAUUUUUAGCGUCAGAGAGAGAAGUGGGGUCUUUAUUCUUGGAUUCCUUACCAGACUUGGGCUUGGGCGGAAGGAUGGCAUGAAUGAUAGUUAGUAAUGUGCGGACAAAGUAAUCGGGCAUCUCGGCACCGUUUUCCUUCAACUUGGAAUCAAAUUCAUCUACUGUCUCACAAUUUCGGCCUAAUUCGGUGAUGAACUCCGCCAAUACUUUGUCCCCAAACCCUAAGUGAGUUUCGAGCUCCGUGCAAACCUUAGAUACGAGUGAUAAGUAUUCCAGUUUCUUAAGGCCAUCGUUGUCUCGUGUUUGUGUUGUGGUAGCCAUUAUUCAAUUUCUAGGUUUAGUACCCUUGGAGAUCGAUUCAAAAAAAGAAGGGGGAAAGAUUGGGAUAUUUGAAGCCAAAAGUUUAAAGUUUCUAGUUUAGGGUUAGGGUUUUUUAUUACGUACUAGAGAUGCAACUAUAACUAGCGAUCGGCAGUUGAAAAUUUUCCUCUUUUUUUUAAUCCCCUCACCGUCUUCUUCAUCUUCUUCCUCCUAAUUCCUAAAGAAACCUAAGGCUCAAUGAAAUCGACAUCGUGAGCACGCGGUCCACCUAAUAUUAUAUGGUGCGGGUUUCGCCCAAUAAAUACUGACUAUGGACAGCCCGGACGGAUUUUCAUUUCCCUGUCUCAAUACUGGUGGGAAUGGAGCGGGCCUAAAUCCGGUUGAAAACAUAUGGGCCGGUGCUGGAUAUUGGGUGCUCCGAAUAUCCAACACAAAAUGUACAGACCCGCAUAUCUCGACCCUUCUAACGGCUAUGUAUUUCGCUUCCCAAACCCUAAACCUCUAGAAAAGCAGGCAUCUUUAACGCACGCUCACUUGUCUUGUCAUUUUCUUCUUCAAGCGCUGGGCUAUUUGAGAUCUUGUUUCUUCAAGCAAACAAUCGUCCAUUAAGCUAUGGCUUUGGUCUUGCAUGCAGGUAACACAAACAAAAAUGCUUUCAAAGCGCUCAUUGCGGCAGAGUAUAGUGGUGUCCAAGUGGAAUUAGUCAAGAAUUUUGAGAUGGGUAUAUCAAAUAAGACGCCUGAAUUUCUUAAGAUGAACCCUAUUGGAAAGGUUCCUGUGCUGGAAACUUGAGAUGGUCCUUUAUUUGAGAGUAAUGUGAUUGCACGCUAUGUUACUUGCUUGAAAGCUGAUAGUCCCCUCUUUGGCACUUCGUUAAUUGAAUAUGCUCAUAUUGAGCAAUGGAUUGAUUUU
rnacentral:misc_RNA from 1 species